UUUUCUGAGAAUUUGAUCUUGGUUCAGAUUGAACGCUGGCGGCGUGGAUGAGGCAUGCAAGUCGAACGGAAUAAUGACUUCGGUUGUUAUUUAGUGGCGGAAGGGUUAGUAAUACAUAGAUAAUCUGUCCUCAACUUGGGAAUAACGGUUGGAAACGACCGCUAAUACCGAAUGUGGUAUGUUUAGGCAUCUAAAACAUAUUAAAGAAGGGGAUCUUCGGACCUUUCGGUUGAGGGAGAGUCUAUGGGAUAUCAGCUUGUUGGUGGGGUAAUGGCCUACCAAGGCUUUGACGUCUAGGCGGAUUGAGAGAUUGACCGCCAACACUGGGACUGAGACACUGCCCAGACUUCUACGGAAGGCUGCAGUCGAGAAUCUUUCGCAAUGGACGAAAGUCUGACGAAGCGACGCCGCGUGUGUGAUGAAGGCUCUAGGGUUGUAAAGCACUUUCGCUUGGGAAUAAGAGAGAUUGGCUAAUAUCCAAUCGAUUUGAGCGUACCAGGUAAAGAAGCACCGGCUAACUCCGUGCCAGCAGCUGCGGUAAUACGGAGGGUGCUAGCGUUAAUCGGAUUUAUUGGGCGUAAAGGGCGUGUAGGCGGAAAGGAAAGUUAGAUGUUAAAUCUUGGGGCUCAACCCCAAGCCAGCAUCUAAUACUAUCUUUCUAGAGGGUAGAUGGAGAAAAGGGAAUUCCACGUGUAGCGGUGAAAUGCGUAGAUAUGUGGAAGAACACCAGUGGCGAAGGCGCUUUUCUAAUUUACACCUGACGCUAAGGCGCGAAAGCAAGGGGAGCAAACAGGAUUAGAUACCCUGGUAGUCCUUGCCGUAAACGAUGCAUACUUGAUGUGGAUAGUCUCAACCCUAUCCGUGUCGUAGCUAACGCGUUAAGUAUGCCGCCUGAGGAGUACACUCGCAAGGGUGAAACUCAAAAGAAUUGACGGGGGCCCGCACAAGCAGUGGAGCAUGUGGUUUAAUUCGAUGCAACGCGAAGAACCUUACCUGGGCUUGACAUGUAUUUGACCGCGGCAGAAAUGUCGUUUUCCGCAAGGACAGAUACACAGGUGCUGCAUGGCUGUCGUCAGCUCGUGCCGUGAGGUGUUGGGUUAAGUCCCGCAACGAGCGCAACCCUUAUCGUUAGUUGCCAACACUUAGGGUGGGAACUCUAACGAGACUGCCUGGGUUAACCAGGAGGAAGGCGAGGAUGACGUCAAGUCAGCAUGGCCCUUAUGCCCAGGGCUACACACGUGCUACAAUGGCCAGUACAGAAGGUAGCAAUAUCGUGAGAUGGAGCAAAUCCUCAAAGCUGGCCCCAGUUCGGAUUGUAGUCUGCAACUCGACUACAUGAAGUCGGAAUUGCUAGUAAUGGCGUGUCAGCUAUAACGCCGUGAAUACGUUCCCGGGCCUUGUACACACCGCCCGUCACAUCAUGGGAGUUGGUUUUGCCUUAAGUCGUUGACUCAACCUGCAAAGGAGAGAGGCGCCCAAGGUGAGGCUGAUGACUGGGAUGAAGUCGUAACAAGGUAGCCCUACCGGAAGGUGGGGCUGGAUCACCUCCUUUU
rnacentral:rRNA from 3 species